rnacentral:misc_RNA from 1 species
GAUGAAGAACGCAGCGAAAUGCGAUAACUAAUGUGAAUUGCAGAAUUCAGUGAAUCAUCGAGUCUUUGAACGCACAUUGCGCCCCCUGGUAUUCCGGGGUGCAUGCCUGUCCGAGCGUCAUUGCUGCCCUCAAGCACGGCUUGUGUGUUGGGCUCCGUCCCCCCGGGGACGGGCCCGAAAGGCAGCGGCGGCACCGAGUCCGGUCCUCGAGCGUAUGGGGCUUUGUCACCCGCUCUGUAGGCCCGGCCGGCGCCAGCCGACAACCCAUCAUCCUUUUCAGGUUGACCUCGGAUCAGGUAGGGAUACCCGCUGAACUUAAGCAUAUCAAUAAGCGGAGGA